AUGAAGUUCGCUUCCCCGCUCACUCACGACGAGGAGCGGGUCGACGCAUGGUAUGGAGGCGAACCGCUGCGGUACCGUACGAUGGAUAAUGUGCUCGGCGACCAGCCGGUGCCAGGACUGGUGCCACGUGACCUGGAGGCGCAGCUACAGCUUGUGUGUGAAGACGGCGAACCACGGUCCUUUGCAGAGGCCGAGAGAGACGCGGCAUGGCGCGCCGCGAUGAAGUUGGAGAUGGAUGCGGUCAAGCAAAACCGCACCUGGGAGCUUGCUGAUCUCCCUCAAGGUCACUGCGCAAUCACCCUUAAGUGGGUGUUCAAGCUGAAGAGGGAUGGAGCCGGCGCCAUCAUCAAGCACAAGGCUCGUUUGGUGGCCCGAGGCUUCUUGCAGCAGGAAGGAGUCGACUUCGACGACGCUUUCGCUCCCGUGGCACGGAUGGAGUCCGUGCGACUUCUCCUUGCGCUGGCUGCCCAGGAGGGCUGGCGUGUCCACCACAUGGACGUUAAGUCGGCAUUCCUCAAUGGCGACUUGAAGGAGGAAGUCUACGUGCAUCAGCCACCGGGGUUUACGAUUCCCGGCCAGGAGGGCAAGGUGCUCCGCCUGCGCAAGGCUCUCUAUGGCCUGCGGCAGGCACCCAGGGCGUGGAACGCCAAGCUGGACUCCACGCUGAAGAAGAUGGGUUUCGAGCAGAGCCCGCAUGAGGCUGCCGUCUACCGACGGGGGAGUGGAGGAAAUGCCCUGCUGGUGGGCGUCUACGUUGACGACCUGGUGAUCACCGGCACCAAAGAUGCAGAGGUGGCGGCGUUCAAGGAAGACAUGAAGGCCACGUUCCAGAUGAGUGACCUGGGGCUCCUCUCCUUCUAUCUAGGGAUUGAGGUGCACCAGGACCACUCCGGGAUCGCGCUCUGA
rnacentral:rRNA from 1 species